CUCACUUUCUUCCUCAGCUCCAGGCUCGAUCUGGAUCUCGCCAGACGAACCUAGCAGCAGCAGGCUUCCUUUCCUCUUCUUGCCCUUCUCCAUGGAUAUAUUACCGAGCGCGGGCGGCCGUUCGGGGGUGCUUUCUUCCAGUCGACGGCUCUACCUACCAUCUCUUCGACCGGUGAGUCAUGAUCCCUUCGACUUGAAAAUAUGGCCAUGUGGACGAUGGAUCAGCGUGUCUUUCCCUGGCCAUCGAUGAUUGAUCUUCCUAUGACUCUUGCGGCUGACUUUGUUUUCUCCAUGGAGUAUGCACUUCGCAUGGGUUGACUUUUGACUUGUGCGGUCAGCUUCAUCCAUGCAUUUAGUAUAUCUUAAUCACAAUGAUGAACAUGUGUGCCAGCAGAGCGGGUCGCUAUGCGCAACUAGUAGCAGGGAGAAGCGUGUCAACGGAUGAUUACUGGACUUAGAAGUCAGGACCAGCCGGUCUAUUUUUCAAAUCUCACACGCUCGAGGAUCUGAUGGCCGGACCGUGCCGGCCUCUAUGCCUUUAUUGGUUGCUCAAAGCCUGGAAUAUUCCAUAGGUAUUGCUUGUAGCCCAUGUGUUUGGAUUCAAGUGUGGAUGCCAUGAUGAUUGAUAUGUAUACCUUUGAUAUUGGCAUCAAGAUCAUCUAUUUGAAGAGAAGAAUGUGAUAUAAUCAAGAAGAAGAAAUGAAGAUGGAGUUCUUGUGUGGAACUCAAGUUACCCAUGCUCUAGCUUAUGUGUUAAGCAAUGAAUGAUCAAGAUAUUAUGACAAAGCAUGAAGAGAUACAAGGUUGACCAAGAUUAAGAGUGAGGGUUGAAUUCAAGUUGGUAUAUAAAGAGUGUACCACUUUGGAUCAUGUGAUCUUGUGGUAUGGUAAGCCAAGUCCAUUAUGCUCCAUGAGCUAACCCACUAUAUAUGUGUAUUUGUUUUGUCUAUGUGGAUUAGGUAUGUUGCCAUGGGCUUGCAUCAAGAAUAUGAUCUAUGUGAGGAUGGCAUCAAGUAUGGAUGUCAUCAAGGUUGAGAAGGGCAAGUUCAAGAUGAGCAUAUCAAAGAUAUCAUGCUUGAAGUUUUUCAUAAAUUUGGUGGUAAUAGACAUGUGAAUAUGUGCCUCAAUGAAGUUUUCCCAUAGUGGUGUAUUGGGGAGCAGUCAUGAGUCUUCACGAAGCAACAGUGAUCAAUUGGGCAUUCCGCCUUAAAUGAAGCAUGAAGCAUCAUCAUCAAGAUCAAGCGGAAUGCGCAAGGCAAAGUUAUGGCCUUGCUAGGUUUUCCUUUUACCAGUCUCAAGGUGGUUGUUUGGAGACCGGGUUA